UACGUAGGGUCCGAGCGUUGUCCGGAAUUACUGGGCGUAAAGAGCUCGUAGGCGGUUUGUCGCGUCUGCUGUGAAAACUCGGGGCUUAACCCCGGGCCUGCAGUGGGUACGGGCAGACUAGAGUGCGGUAGGGGAGACUGGAAUUCCUGGUGUAGCGGUGAAAUGCGCAGAUAUCAGGAGGAACACCGGUGGCGAAGGCGGGUCUCUGGGCAACUACUGACGCUGAGGAGCGAAAGCGUGGGGAGCGAACAGG
rnacentral:rRNA from 1 species